rfam:Cephalotus follicularis DNA, scaffold: scaffold465, isolate: St1.
AUGGCAUGAUUGGGACAUUUUCAGAUGAGGUCUUUUAAUCUUUCCCAUGCCUCAUGGAACUACUCACGAUCAUGCUGUGAAAAGCUAGUGAGAGCUCGCCUUAUUUC